rnacentral:rRNA from 1 species
GAUGAACGCUGGCGGCGUGCCUAAUACAUGCAAGUCGAACGAGGUGCUUUUGUAGCAAUACGAAAGUAUCCUAGUGGCGAACGGGUGAGUAACGCGUUGGUGACCUACCCCAAAGUGUGGGAUAACAGUUCGAAAGAACUGCUAAUACCGCAUGUGGUUAUCGGGUUUAGAAACUGAUAACUAAAGGAGCAAUUCGCUUUGGGAGGGACCUGCGUCCCAUCAGCUAGUUGGUGAGGUAAUGGCUCACCAAGGCUACGACGGGUAGGGGACCUGAGAGGGUGACCCCCCCACAAUGGAACUGAAACACGGUCCAUACACCUACGGGUGGCAGCAGUAGGGAAUAUUGCACAAUGGGCGAAAGACCUGAUGCAGCAACGCCGCGUGUGCGAUGAAGGCCUC